GCCGACCCCCACCGCCAUUCCCCCCCCCCACCUUCUCCUCAGGCCUGAAACCGGCAGGAGGAUGGGAGCGAGCUCCGGAAAAAAGACGAGUCCAUCACCUGAGGGUCCGGCGGAGGGUGGUUCAACUUCAAAUGAUUGAAAGGCGUUUGAAGAGGAUUCUUGAUAUGCUGCAAGCCCCUGGAACACAUGUGAAGUCACAGGCAUCUCCAUGUCAUUCUCAUGGAUCCUCUGUGUCCACCCUAUUACAAAGGCCGAGCCCCGAUCCGCCGGCGAACAUUCAACGAAAGGCAAGAGCAGCCAUGAAGCCAGGCCUCGCCCGAGAGCGCUCCAAACCCACGUCCAGUCACGUGGGGCCGGGAGGCGGGGGAAAGGAGGACGAUCAUCCAAUCAGAGCCCGAGCUGCCCCCACCCGGACCAAUGAGGAUUGAGAACCCACAAAUUUAAACCCCCCUGGGCGAGGAGCGGCGGGCCGGCGUCUUCUUUGCAGCGCCUCCUAGGGGGAGGGGCGGGCCCAGGCGUCCCGUCGUUCGGCUGCACCAAUAGGAGCGCCGCGUUCCCUAACGGGCAGCUCCAAGAGCCAAUCAGGAGAGCCCGACCGGGCACCGUCGAGCAGU